rnacentral:rRNA from 1 species
CGCUGGCGGCGUGCCUAACACAUGCAAGUCGAGCGAGGAGAUCCUCGGGAUGAUCCUAGCGGCGGACGGGUGAGUAACACGUGGGCAACCUGCCUCAUAGAGAGGAAUAGCCUUCCGAAAGGGAGAUUAAUACCUCAUAACAUUGCAGUUUCGCAUGGAACAGCAAUUAAAGGAGUAAUCCGCUAUGAGAUGGGCCCGCGGCGCAUUAGCUAGUUGGUGAGGUAACGGCUCACCAAGGCGACGAUGCGUAGCCGACCUGAGAGGGUGAUCGGCCACAUUGGGACUGAGACACGGCCCAGACUCCUACGGGAGGCAGCAGUGGGGAAUAUUGCACAAUGGGGGAAACCCUGAUGCAAGCAACGCCGCGUGAGUGAUGACGGCCUUCGGGUUGUAAAGCUCUGUCUUCAGGGACGAUAAUGACGGUACCUGAGGAGGAAGCCACGGCUAACUACGUGCCAGCAGCCGC